CAGGCUUAACACAUGCAAGUCGAGGGGCAGCAUGGUCUUAGCUUGCUAAGGCCGAUGGCGACCGGCGCACGGGUGAGUAACACGUAUCCAACCUGCCGUCUACUCUUGGACAGCCUUCUGAAAGGAAGAUUAAUACAAGAUGGCAUCAUGAGUCCGCAUGUUCACAUGAUUAAAGGUAUUCCGGUAGACGAUGGGGAUGCGUUCCAUUAGAUAGUAGGCGGGGUAACGGCCCACCUAGUCUUCGAUGGAUAGGGGUUCUGAGAGGAAGGUCCCCCACAUUGGAACUGAGACACGGUCCAAACUCCUACGGGAGGCAGCAGUGAGGAAUAUUGGUCAAUGGGCGAGAGCCUGAACCAGCCAAGUAGCGUGAAGGAUGACUGCCCUAUGGGUUGUAAACUUCUUUUAUAAAGGAAUAAAGUCGGGUAUGGAUACCCGUUUGCAUGUACUUUAUGAAUAAGGAUCGGCUAACUCCGUGCCAGCAGCCGCGGUAAUACGGAGGAUCCGAGCGUUAUCCGGAUUUAUUGGGUUUAAAGGGAGCGUAGAUGGAUGUUUAAGUCAGUUGUGAAAGUUUGCGGCUCAACCGUAAAAUUGCAGUUGAUACUGGAUAUCUUGAGUGCAGUUGAGGCAGGCGGAAUUCGUGGUGUAGCGGUGAAAUGCUUAGAUAUCACGAAGAACUCCGAUUGCGAAGGCAGCCUGCUAAGCUGCAACUGACAUUGAGGCUCGAAAGUGUGGGUAUCAAACAGGAUUAGAUACCCUGGUAGUCCACACAGUAAACGAUGAAUACUCGCUGUUUGCGAUAUACUGCAAGCGGCCAAGCGAAAGCGUUAAGUAUUCCACCUGGGGAGUACGCCGGCAACGGUGAAACUCAAAGGAAUUGACGGGGGCCCGCACAAGCGGAGGAACAUGCGGUUUAAUUCGAUGAUACGCGAGGAACCUUACCCGGGCUUAAAUUGCAGAUGAAUUACGGUGAAAGCCGUAAGCCGCAAGGCAUCUGUGAAGGUGCUGCAUGGUUGUCGUCAGCUCGUGCCGUGAGGUGUCGGCUUAAGUGCCAUAACGAGCGCAACCCUUGUUGUCAGUUACUAACAGGUUCCGCUGAGGACUCUGACAAGACUGCCAUCGUAAGAUGUGAGGAAGGUGGGGAUGACGUCAAAUCAGCACGGCCCUUACGUCCGGGGCUACACACGUGUUACAAUGGGGGGUACAGAGGGCCGCUACCACGCGAGUGGAUGCCAAUCCCCAAAACCUCUCUCAGUUCGGACUGGAGUCUGCAACCCGACUCCACGAAGCUGGAUUCGCUAGUAAUCGCGCAUCAGCCACGGCGCGGUGAAUACGUUCCCGGGCCUUGUACACACCGCCCGUCAAGCCAUGGGAGCCGGGGGUACCUGAAGUGCGUAACCGCGAGGAGCGCCCUAGGGUAAAACUGGUGACUGGGGCUAAGUCAUAACA
rnacentral:rRNA from 1 species